AAUUUGCAGGAGUCAAAAUCAUCCCCUUUGAAAGGACUUAUUCACAGAUGAAUCCUGAAGCAACUGAGGAGAAAGAGUAGAGCUUAAAGCUGCCCGAAAGAUGUGGAGAAUUUUAUGAUGGAAGAGAAUUUCAGUUCACUCAGGCGACCUUGGUGAAGUCAGCAAAGAAUGAGCUGAAUUCACUGGAUGCUGUAGACUUGGCUGCAGAUUCACGUUGUCUCUGCCGCCUUCUCUGAUGGAGAUGUUCUACACCAACCCUUCUGCUACUACCAUCACCAUCAAGCAGUCCUUCCUGCAACAGAUACUCACUGAGCCUCUAUCACAAGCCAGGCACUGCUCUCAGGCUGGAAACGAAGCAAUGAACCAAACAGAUAAAAAUCCCUGCCCGCGUGGAGCGUACAUUCUAAUAGGGGAGAAGUGGGGUGCCCUGGAAAUCUCACAUUCAAUUUGAACUUCAUUAUAAUUUAGUUGUUUUGAGUCUAUAUCGAGUCAAGUGAGUGUCUAGACUCCUGUCGGAGAUAUUCUGCAAAGACAGGUACCAACAA